CCGCAUAGCCCUUAUGUCCUGGGCUACACACGCGCUACAAUGGCCGAUACAGUAGGAAGCCAAAUCGUAAGAUGGAGCUAAUCCUUAAAGUCGGUACUCAGUUCGGAUUGAGGUCUGAAAUUCGACCUCAUGAAGUUGGAUUUGCUAGUAAUCGUAGAUCAGCAAUGCUACGGUGAAUACGUUCUCGGGUCUU
rnacentral:rRNA from 1 species